rnacentral:rRNA from 1 species
UCCUGUCUGAAUAUGGGGGGACCAUCCUCCAAGGCUAAAUACUCCUGACUGACCGAUAGUGAACCAGUACCGUGAGGGAAAGGCGAAAAGAACCCCGGCGAGGGGAGUGAAAAAGAACCUGAAACCGUGUACGUACAAGCAGUGGGAGCACGCUUAGGCGUGUGACUGCGUACCUUUUGUAUAAUGGGUCAGCGACUUAUAUUCUGUAGCAAGGUUAACCGAAUAGGGGAGCCGAAGGGAAACCGAGUCUUAACUGGGCGUUAAGUUGCAGGGUAUAGACCCGAAACCCGGUGAUCUAGCCAUGGGCAGGUUGAAGGUUGGGUAACACUAACUGGAGGACCGAACCGACUAAUGUUGAAAAAUUAGCGGAUGACUUGUGGCUGGGGGUGAAAGGCCAAUCAAACCGGGAGAUAGCUGGUUCUCCCCGAAAGCUAUUUAGGUAGCGCCUCGUGAAUUCAUCUCCGGGGGUAGAGCACUGUUUCGGCAAGGGGGUCAUCCCGACUUACCAACCCGAUGCAAACUGCGAAUACCGGAGAAUGUUAUCACGGGAGACACACGGCGGGUGCUAACGUCCGUCGUGAAGAGGGAAACAACCCAGACCGCCAGCUAAGGUCCCAAAGUCAUGGUUAAGUGGGAAACGAUGUGGGAAGGCCCAGACAGCCAGGAUGUUGGCUUAGAAGCAGCCAUCAUUUAAAGAAAGCGUAAUAGCUCACUGGUCGAGUCGGCCUGCGCGGAAGAUGUAACGGGGCUAAACCAUGCACCGAAGCUGCGGCAGCGACGCUGAUGCGUUGUUGGGUAGGGGAGCGUUCUGUAAGCCUGUGAAGGUGUGCUGUGAGGCAUGCUGGAGGUAUCAGAAGUGCGAAUGCUGACAUAAGUAACGAUAAAGCGGGUGAAAAGCCCGCUCGCCGGAAGACCAAGGGUUCCUGUCCAACGUUAAUCGGGGCAGGGUGAGUCGACCCCUAAGGCGAGGCCGAAAGGCGUAGUCGAUGGGAAACAGGUUAAUAUUCCUGUACUUGGUGUUACUGCGAAGGGGGGACGGAGAAGGCUAUGUUGGCCGGGCGACGGUUGUCCCGGUUUAAGCGUGUAGGCUGGUUUUCCAGGCAAAUCCGGAAAAUCAAGGCUGAGGCGUGAUGACGAGGCACUACGGUGCUGAAGCAACAAAUGCCCUGCUUCCAGGAAAAGCCUCUAAGCAUCAGGUAACAUCAAAUCGUACCCCAAACCGACACAGGUGGUCAGGUAGAGAAUACCAAGGCGCUUGAGAGAACUCGGGUGAAGGAACUAGGCAAAAUGGUGCCGUAACUUCGGGAGAAGGCACGCUGAUAUGUAGGUGAAGCGACUUGCUCGUGGAGCUGAAAUCAGUCGAAGAUACCAGCUGGCUGCAACUGUUUAUUAAAAACACAGCACUGUGCAAACACGAAAGUGGACGUAUACGGUGUGACGCCUGCCCGGUGCCGGAAGGUUAAUUGAUGGGGUCAGCGCAAGCGAAGCUCUUGAUCGAAGCCCCGGUAAACGGCGGCCGUAACUAUAACGGUCCUAAGGUAGCGAAAUUCCUUGUCGGGUAAGUUCCGACCUGCACGAAUGGCGUAAUGAUGGCCAGGCUGUCUCCACCCGAGACUCAGUGAAAUUGAACUCGCUGUGAAGAUGCAGUGUACCCGCGGCAAGACGGAAAGACCCCGUGAACCUUUACUAUAGCUUGACACUGAACAUUGAGCCUUGAUGUGUAGGAUAGGUGGGAGGCUUUGAAGUGUGG